rnacentral:lncRNA from 1 species
AGGCUUUACUGUGCCGGGAGGAACAGAAGAACUUCCAGAAGAGGAGGGAGGAGGUGGUAGUAGCGGUCGGAGACAGGGUGGCCGCAACAUCUCUGUGGAGACAGCAAGUCUGGAUGUCUAUGCCAAGUACGUGCUGCGAAGCAUCUGCCAACAGGUCAGUCUCACCUUCCCCCCCAUACCACCUAUAAAUGCUUCUAUGUAAUCUAGCCCUGUUUCUAGCCCAUGACCACACUACCUCCCUGCUAUACAUUGGGUCCUUUACCUGCCCCUGGCACAACUUCCCAGGGUUGCCUGCUGUCCUCUAAUUAUCAGCCUCCUUAGGAAUGGGUAGGAGAACGUUGCCUUAAGUCACUGUGUGAGGAUAGCAAUGAUCUACAAGACCCAGUGUUGAGUAGUGCCCAGGCCCAGCGCCUCAUGCAACUUAUCUGCUACCCACAUCGACUGCUGGACAAUGAGGAUGGAGAAAACCCCCAGCGGCAGCGCAUUAAACGUAUUCUCAAGGUAGGCUAAAGGAGCUGGGGUGCUAGGGGGCAGCAGGACAGACCUUACCUGGAAAUAGUGGGAACCAUUCCUCAGUAGGAAGAUGAACAAGCAUGUAGGAGAAUGGGUGCAAGAAAAGCAGCUCCAGCAUGGGCUUAGGAGCAGAUCUGGUGGUCUGGUCUAGACUCAGAAGUUAGGCUGUUAGGUGAGUGCACAACUGUCUGGGGUGAGCAUAGCUCAUCUGUGGGACGAAUUGCCUCUGAGUGGCCUGGAUUCUGCUUUGUAUAUAUGGCACUUUGGUUGUGACUCAGUAUUAUAGUGGCAAGUGUCUCAUGCACAGGUACUGUAUGCACAGCACCGUGCCCUCAGUCCUUUUCAUUUGAUCUUUAUGACCUUGUGAAGUGAAUAGGAAUAUCCUUGUUUGACCAGUGAGGAAACUGAGGCUCAAGAGCUUAAUUGGCUUGUCUGAGGUCACAGGAGGAGCUAGUAAGGUUUGAGUAACUAUGUGGACUCAGCUGUGCCUGUACCCUUUCACUUUGCCUUGUUGCCUGCCUCAGACAUUUGACUGACUGGAGUGGGAAAACAAGGCCAUGGAGGAAGUCCUAAAGGAAUGUGUUCUCUUUAGCCUGGAGGAAAUAAUACCAAGGGGAGAUUACCUAACAGUAGCUUUCCAGUCUCUACAGGACUUCAAAAGAGUGUCCUGUAAAAAGGCUCUGUGGGGGACUUUUGAGAAGCUGAUGGAAAACAGCGUAGUCAGGUUUCAACCUUAACAUUAAGGAUUUAAAGGUUAGGCAUUGAGCAGAACUUUGUGGGGCUCUGGGACAAGGAUCUAGAGGGGUAUGAAAUCAUUUUUUAACCAUAGUAAACUACAGUUGCUUUCAGUGAUUUGGGAUUAUUUAAAUGUAGUCUUUCCUAAUGAGAGGGGCAUAGAGGUCCAUUCCAGCUUCUAGCAAUCUGUUUUGGGGGAGUAUGAGUUAGUCAUAAAAUAGAUAGUAAGGUUGACACAAUGAUGAUUGUUUGGUUUUUGCCACCAGAAUUUAGACCAAUGGACCAUGCGCCAGUCCUCUUUGGAGCUACAGUUGAUGAUCAAGCAGACCCCCAACACUGUAAGUCAUGUCCCCAGGCCCUCCCUCUCCCAGGCCCACUUCCAGUUCCCUGUGUCAGGGAUAUCAGCCAUCAUAGAACUGAGGUCCUACCCUCAAGCUCCUGACUGAGAGAGAUAAGAGGGGUGUGAGAAUGACAGACACGUGGAGCUGGUGAUAAGGACAUGGGCUGAGAGUGUGGAGCCUCCUCUGUGGACAAGUAUUCCUACAGUGCUAAUAGAGCCUGUUUCUGUGGCAAAGGAGAAGACAGUAAGGAACUGUAGACAUACAGAGGUACAGGAGGGUACAGAUUCUGACGGUUAAGUCCCUACUGCCAACCUCUACGAUGCCCUCCUUCAGCUCAUCUCCCAUCCCUCCUGCCUUGGUUCUCCUUACUGCUAGCUGCCUAUUUAGCCCUUCUGUUCCUUUUAUUCUCCCAGGAGAUGAACUCUCUCUUGGAGAACAUUGCCAAGGCCACAAUCGAGGUUUUCCAACAGUCAGCAGAGACGGGGUCAUCUUCUGGAAGUACAGCAAGCAACAUGCCCAGCAGCAGCAAGACCAAACCUGUGCUCAGGUUUGCCAGAAAGAAAUUAGGAUUUGUCCCUCAUGAGUUUUUUCUACUGAUACCAUGAAUGAUGGUUUUGAAAUAGUGAUACUGGACAUGCCCAGGGGAAAGAAAUGAGAGAUUAUUCGACCUUGCUUAGCUGGCUCCCCUGAAACCCUAUGUCCUCUGUCUUCUAGCUCUCUAGAGCGAUCUGGUGUAUGGUUGGUGGCUCCUCUCAUUGCCAAACUGCCCACUUCAGUCCAGGGCCAUGUAUUAAAAGCUGCUGGGGAGGAACUGGAAAAGGGUCAGCACCUGGGCUCUUCUUCCCGUAAAGAACGAGAUCGACAGAAACAGAAGAGGUAAGGGGCUCUGGUCAGUAAGGAAGGACUAAAGAGUGGAAUGGAGAGGAGGUGGCAGGACCAGGAAAGAAGAAACAUUGGGCCAAGACGUAGAGAAUAGAUAGGCCUCACGAGAAAGGAGCAUUUGGGUGGGGUGUAGUAGUAUACGCCUUUAAUCCUGCACUUGGGAGGCAGAGGCAAGAGGCUCUCUUAAUGUUUGAGGCCAGCCUGGUCUACAUAGCAAGUUCUAAGCCAACUAGAGCUACAUAGAGAAACCAUCUCUCAAAAAACAAAC